AUAGUUACAUUUUGUGUGUGUGAUGAGAACUUUUAGAAUAUACUCUUAUCAACUUUCAAAUAUACAAUGCAGUAUUGUGAAUUAUAGUUGCCAUGCUGUAUAAUACAUCCCUAGAAGUUACUCAUCUUAUAACUGAAAGUUUAUAAAAACCUUUUUACCAUCUUCACCCAUUUUCCCCACGUCCACACCCUUCCCUUUAGCAAUUGCCAAUCUGUUCUCUGUUCCUAUGAGUUUGGUAAUUUUAGAUGUCACAUAUAAUGAGAGGGUGCAUAUAUAUAUAUAGUCGCUUAGUCUUGUCUAACUUUUUGCAACCCCAUUGAUUGUAGACUGGUGUAGCCCACCGGGUUCCUCUGUCUAUGGGAAUUCUCCAGGCAAAAAUACUAGAGUGGGUUGCCACGCCUUCCUCCUGGAAUCCUCCCAACCCAAGGAUCAAACCCUGGACUGCAGGCAGAUUCCUUACCAGUUGAGCUACUAGGGAAGCCCAUAGUGUCUGUUUUCCUCCCUUCUUACUGUUCUGUCUGUCCUUUUGCAAAGUACUAGCUGACUGCCCCACCUACUUCUGUAAUUCUGCGCUUCCCUCUUCCUGCCCCUCCCACCACAUUCUUAGAGCAGAACCAGCCACUUGGCCCCAGCUAGAAGUGAUCAGUUCCGUGGAGCCCAAUUCCAGGGCUUGCCGAGGGAGGGUAGAUUCUAUUCUGCUAGACCUGGGUGGGGCCUUGGAGGUCUUCUGGUCCCUCCUAUGUGAUAUGAGGAAGUGAAACCAGAGACACUGGCCCUGAACUUCUCAAUACCACAGAGAGAGUCAGUGCCAGGUCCAGGAAUGAACUGUCUGGAUUCAUUUUGAAUAAAUUCUCUUUUCCCCAUUCUUUCUGUUAUACACCAGGGUGGAAAAAGAAGCCAACUUUUCUGGAGACUCAGGACCCAUUUGGCAGAGAAGCACAUAGAAAAGCCAGAGAAUGCAGCCUGGAGAGAUGGAAGAUGCCAGUCAGGUCUCACUAGUGUCUAGGAAUGGAAGAAGAAGAAGCCAAGCAUUCCUGCAAGGUGGAUACAGCACAGCACCCAGGAUAUGGGACAGGGUGGGACAGAAAUGACAACUAAGUCCAUCUCACAGGCCUAAUCCAAAGAGUUUCUAGUGGUCGCCUCUAGCACCUUGCUAAAAAGCAUCCUGGGUGGCGUCCAGGCUCACCAGGAAAGAAGUCAUGAUUGUUAAGCCAAGUCUGCUUUGGACAUGGGGUAGAGAGGUUGCAGAGUUUGCCAUCCUGGGUUUUCUCAGUAUCCAAUACCGACUGGAAGAAGCUCCUGCCAGCCAUGUAAGAAGGAGAAUGUCAGGCUCUAAUCAGGGAGAGCCUUGGAGAGCUGAGGAGAUUCCCCAAUUUCUUCCUGCUCAUCAUUUUCAGUGCCUGACAUCCAUUUUCACAGAGGAAUUAGCAGUAAGUUCUCUAAAAGGGGAGCUGAUUGCUGAUUUGCUUGUUUUGAGGGAUGAGGUAGAAGAGAGGAGUUGGGGAGACUUUGCUUUUCCCAAGAGCUGGUCACAGGAGAAGAAAGUGCUCUUUGUUGGUUGUAGCAGCUCUGGACUGGAAAGAAAAGCAGGUCAAACACCUGGGCCUGUAUACUGGGCACUGUGCCAUCCUCCUGGGAGGAUAGGUGUGGGGGGGGCACAGGCAGGUGACAUAGACACUGAACAAGUAGGAGUCGCGUUUAAAAUGACACAUGUCAUCAGUGUAGUGCCUGCCUUCUAGCACUGAUGGAGGGAGCUACGGUUUGGCUGCUGUGCAGCAGUGCACUAGGUAGAUAAGGUGUGACCAGGGAAGCUGGAAGGAGACUCGAGGAGCUGUGGGGACUGAAGACAUGUUUAUUCUCUCUGGGCAGCAGCAGCAAGGAGUCUUCAAAGACUACUGAUAUACUAAGACAGACAAAAGUGGCCCAUCGCCAAGUGGGCAUGCAGGCCAAGUGCUACCAAGGUCAGCAAUAUCAUUGUUUACAAAACAUAAGAGAUCAAGCCCUGAGCCUUUGGAGUGGGAGCACUGACUCAAAGGCCCUAGACUACCAGAGAACUAACCCUAGGAAGUAUCAAAUAGUGAGAACUCACACAAAGUAAACCACCUGAAUAUAAUAAUCAGCAUCACCCAACUACCAGUAGCACCCUGUGCAGGAUGCCUCAUCUAAAGAACAAACAAAACAAAAAUACAAUCCAAA